CCUACGGGGGGCAGCAGUGGGGGAUAUUGCACAAUGGGGGGAACCCUGAUGCAGCGACGCCGCGUGAGCGAUGAAGUAUUUCGGUAUGUAAAGCUCUAUCAGCAGGGGAGAAAAUGACGUUACCUGACUAAGAAGCCCCGGAUAACGACGUGCCAGCAGCCGCGGUAAUACGUAGGGGGCAGGCGUGAACCGGAAUUACUGGGUGUAAAGGGAGCGUAGACGGCAGUGCAAGUCUGCAGUGAAAGGCAAGGGCUCAACCUUUGGACUGCUUUGGAAACUGUGCUGCUGGAGUGUGGGAGAGGCAAGUGGAAUUCCUGGUGUAGCGGUGAAAUGCGUAGAUAGUAGGAGGAACACCAGUGGCGAAGGCGGCUUGCUGGACCAUGACUGACGCUGAGGCUCGAAAGCGUGGGGAGCAAACAGGAUUAGAUACCCGUGUAGUC
rnacentral:rRNA from 1 species